AGUCCCCCCACUUAGUUCAAUGCCCCCGCAUUCUCUAAACAUCUAGUCUACUGGAUAGGUCCAGUCAUCUGGAGGUCCUGCUCUAAACAUAUGGGCUGCAUCCAAACACUCAUACUUGGCUGCUAUAUAGUAGGCAUUUUGUGAGCUGGUCUUCUCUACUCAGACUCCUCCUCUUCCUGCUCCACGAUGGGAUCGCACGUCCUCACCCUCGCCCUCCUCUCCGUCCUGACGUCCUCGCUGGCGCCAGCGGAGACGAC
ensembl:lncRNA